rnacentral:tRNA from 1 species
GAGACAUUAGUAAAAUAUGCAAUUACAUCACCUUGUCGAGAUGAAAUCACGGGUUAAACCCCUGUAUGUCUUG